rnacentral:rRNA from 1 species
UACCAGCUCUCCGAGUGGUAGGGAUGAUUAUUGGGCUUAAAGCGUCCGUAGCCGGCUUAGCAAGUCUCCUGUUAAAUUCAGCGACCUAAUCGUUGAGCCGCGGGAGAUACUACUAGGCUAGGAGGCGGGAGAGGUCAACGGUACUUCCGGGGUAGGGGUGAAAUCCUAUAAUCCCGGGAGGACCACCAGUGGCGAAGGCUGUUGACUAGAACGCGCUCGACGGUGAGGGACGAAAGCUGGGAGAGCGAACCGGAUUAGAUACCCGGGUAGUCCCAGCUGUAAACGAUGCGAGCUAGGUGUUGGGGUGGCUACGUGCCACUUCAGUGCCGCAGGGAAGCCAUUAAGCUCGCCGCCUGGGGAGUACGGCCGCAAGGCUGAAACUUAAAGGAAUUGGCGGGGGGCACCACAAGGCGUGAAGCUUGCGGUUC